rnacentral:rRNA from 1 species
CGGGUGAGUAACACGUGAGCAACCUGCCUUUAAGAGUGGGAUAACGGUCGGAAACGACCGCUAAUACCGCAUAAUAUACAUGAAUCGCAUGGUUUGUGUAUCAAAGAUUUAUCGCUUAAAGAUGGGCUCGCGUCUGAUUAGCUGGUUGGUGAGGUAACGGCUCACCAAGGCGACGAUCGGUAGCCGUACUGAGAGGUAGAACGGCCACAUUGGGACUGAGACACGGCCCAGACUCCUACGGGAGGCAGCAG